rnacentral:other from 25 species
AAAAUCCUGAGAUGUGCGCGUAGCUUAUAGUUUCAACCUACAUUAUUCAUACGGGAUUUGCAAAAUUUUCUCAUAUGUCGGACUUCAAGUUUUUUACUUCACUUAUGUGACAGAAGAUGACAGAAAAGAGAUGAGCGAAACCCACCUGCGAGGAGCAGGUAUGAAUUUAUAAGUGAGACGGCAUGUUGGGACUUUA